AUCUGGUUGAUCCUGCCAGUAGUCAUACGCUCGUCUCAAAGAUUAAGCCAUGCAUGUGUAAGUAUAAAUAGUCUACUUUAAAACUGCGAAUGGCUCAUUAUAUCAGUUAUAGUUUAUUUGAUGAAAUAUACUACUUGGAUAACCGUAGUAAUUCUAGAGCUAAUACAUGAUCGUCUCCUCGACUUUGAAGAGGUGUAUUUAUUAGAAUGAAAACCAAUAGACUUUGUCUGUUUGUGAGUAAUAAUAACUUGUCAUAUCGCAUGCUUUUGUAGCGAUGUGUCUUUUAAGUUUCUGCCCUAUCAGCUUUCGAUGGUAGUGUAUUGGACUACCAUGGCAGUAACGGGUAACGAAGAAUUUGGGUUCGAUUUCGGAGAGGGAGCCUGAGAGAUGGCUACCACAUCCAGGGAAGGCAGCAGGCGCGUAAAUUACCCAAUCCUGACACAGGGAGGUAGUGACAAUAAAUCACAAUGCGGAACUUUUGUUUUGCAAUUGGAUUGAGAACAACGCACAACACUUAUCGAUAAACAAUUGGAGGGCAAGUCUGGUGCCAGCAGCCGCGGUAAUUCCAGCUCCAAAUAGGCUAAUAUU
rnacentral:rRNA from 1 species